GGCGCUGUGGCCGAGUGGUUAAGGCGACAGAUUAGAAUUCCACAAUACACAUCUGAGUCAUCUGUUCCGGUUUCCGGGCGCAGGUUCAAAUCCUGCCGGCGUCG